rnacentral:misc_RNA from 1 species
UUUUACAUUGUCACCAGUAUGCUAGCAAGAAUAUAAAUAGACUGAUGAUCAUAAAUUAUAAAAUUCUGAUAAGUGAAAAAUUGAAGUCUCAAUUUGAAACUCAAUUUUGUAAAUUUGAACAGAAAAGCAUUCAGUUCCAAGAAAUGUUUUAAAAUCACAGAUAACGCCUAAUGAAAUUAGGUUAAUCAUGGUUCUCUAAUCAUGGUUCUCUGAUUAUUGUCAUAAUGUAAUUGUCCAAGAGAAGAGGGAAAACAUUAUUUUACCUAGAAUUGUUCCAUUAUGCAUAGGAAUUUUGAGAAUGUUAGAUAACAGGAUAGCAAAAAUGACACAAAAAGUUUGUAACUUCCAAGUAUGAUGCAUAUUAGAAGCACAACUCUUCUUCACUUAAGAGAAAGGUUUAGGAAAUUCUAAAAUCGAACAUGAGUAUUCAUUCAAAGUAUCAACACUAUACAAAGAAUAUGUCAUUACUUGCCAUUUUGGGUAAGUAUCUUAUGCAUUUCUAUACAAGGUGUAAAAGGGUUCUGAUAUUAAUAAAAUUGUUUUCCUUAACUCCCAAAGGUUCCAAAGAAAAUAUAUGGGCAUAAAGUUUUUCCAACCUAUCAAAUAUGAUAAUUAUGAGGUCAAAAGUGGGGUAAGGAAAACAAUGUCAAUCUUUCAUUAAUGAAUGCUCAUAGUGGGGCCAAACUACAUAACAUGCCUUAUUUUCCAAUAUUCACAAAGGAUAAUACUUCAGAGAA